CGGGGCAUAGCUCAGCCUGGUAGAGCACUUGCUUUGGGAGCAAGAAGUCGGGAGUUCGAAUCCCCCUGCCCCGACCA
rnacentral:tRNA from 1 species